AGCUUUGCGCAGUGGCAGUAUCGUAGCCAAUGAGGUUUAUCCGAGGCGCGAUUAUUGCUAAUUGAAAGAACCCAUGCUUCAAACAAAU
rnacentral:snRNA from 1 species